UACGGGGGGGGCAAGCGUUGUUCGGAAUUACUGGGCGUAAAGGGCUCGUAGGUGGCCAACUAAGUCAGACGUGAAAUCCCCAGGCUCAACUUGGGAACUGCGUCUGAUACUGGAUGGCUUGGAUUUGGGAGAGGGAUGCGGAAUUCCAGGUGUAGCGGUGAAAUGCGUAGAUAUCUGGAGGAACACCGGUGGCGAAGGCGGCAUCCUGGACCAACAUUGACGCUGAGGAGCGAAAGCCAGGGGAGCAAACGGG
rnacentral:rRNA from 1 species